rnacentral:lncRNA from 1 species
GUUGUGAUAUUUUCUAGGGUUUCAUCUUGUUCUCUGGUUCGCUCAUGCUCUUGAUGGUCUGGAUGCUUCAUCUGGUAUCUCAGUGUUGAGAUUGUUGUAUAAGAGAUUGUGUUAAUCUCUUUGUUUGUAUCCUUUCUUUUUUCUGUUUUUGUAUUGUUCUGGUUAUGUUCAACAGAUUUCUUCAAUCUGUUGAACUUGUAUAGUGUAUUGAUUAAAGAUCUCAUACUUUUGAGAUCUAGGGUUUGGUUGGGAUAUUUUUCUGGGUUGGAUAAUCAAUAAAGUUUUGUCACUAUUUUGUCACUAUUUCUGGUGUUGUUCAUAUGUUUCUGUAGUUUAGUGUUAGAUCUGUACUUGUUUACACUAAGUGAUGAUAUUUGUUUAGUAUUAAAAUUCAGUUUUAUCGGGUUAAAACCGAACAAAACUGAAUGUGAAGUUACUUGUUUUGCCAACACUAGUUGAUAUCAUCAGUUAGAAAACUACAAUGAUCACAGAGUUGCACUUU